UACGUAGGGGGCUAGCGUUGUCCGGAAUCAUUGGGCGUAAAGCGCGUGUAGGCGGUCCGGUAAGUCCGCUGUGAAAGUCGGGGGCUCAACCCUCGAAUGCCGGUGGAUACUGUCGGGCUUGAGUGCGGGAGAGGGAUGUGGAAUUCCAGGUGUAGCGGUGAAAUGCGUAGAUAUCUGGAGGAACACCGGUGGCGAAGGCGGCAUCCUGGACCGGUAUUGACGCUGAGGCGCGAAAGCUAGGGGAGCAAACGGG
rnacentral:rRNA from 1 species